UACGUAGGGUGCAAGCGUUGUCCGGAAUUAUUGGGCGUAAAGAGCUCGUAGGCGGUCUGUCGCGUCUGCUGUGAAAACUCAGGGCUUAACCCUGAGCUUGCAGUGGGUACGGGCAGACUAGAGUGUGGUAGGGGAGACUGGAAUUCCUGGUGUAGCGGUGAAAUGCGCAGAUAUCAGGAGGAACACCGAUGGCGAAGGCAGGUCUCUGGGCCACUACUGACGCUGGAGGAGCGAAAGCGUGGGGAGCAAACAGG
rnacentral:rRNA from 1 species